rnacentral:rRNA from 1 species
AUUGAACGCUGGCGGAAUGCUUUACACAUGCAAGUCGAACGGCAGCACGGACUUCGGUCUGGUGGCGAGUGGCGAACGGGUGAGUAAUACAUCGGAACGUGCCCAAUCGUGGGGGAUAACGUAGCGAAAGCUACGCUAAUACCGCAUACGAUCUAAGGAUGAAAGCGGGGGAUCGCAAGACCUCGCGCGAUUGGAGCGGCCGAUGGAAGAUUAGGUAGUUGGUAGGGUAAAGGCCUACCAAGCCGACGAGCUGUAGCUGGUCUGAGAGGAUGAUCAGCCACACUGGGACUGAGACACGGCCCAGACUCCUACGGGAGGCAGCAGUGGGGAAUUUUGGACAAUGGACGCAAGUCUGAUCCAGCCAUUCCGCGUGCAGGAUGAAGGCCCUCGGGUUGUAAACUGCUUUUGUACAGAACGAAAAGGCUCUGGUUAAUACCUAGGGCUCAUGACGGUACUGUAAGAAUAAGCACCGGCUAACUACGUGCCAGCAGCCGCAGUAA